GACGUACAAUCGCUGUCAGCCGUCGUCCGUGCUUUUUCCCUCCAUAGCGCUAUCUCUUUCUCGCGUGCAGCCCAAUUUUAAGACCGGUAUUGGUACCGAUAGAAAAUGUAAACAAACGUCAACACAAAUUCAACCAGUACUCAUUCCUCCCGUGAAAAGUUUCCCGAUAGAAAGAGCGAAAAUGGUCUCGAAUCAGGACAAGAAAAGUGGCUUGAUGUCCCACGCAAUUGCCCGGCUCUACAAGCAGUGUCUGGAGGAAGUGGAAAGGGAACUCCUCCUUGCCUAGCAGCCAGAACCUCCGACUGUGGAUGACCGAGCGCGUGAUGUGCAGUUUGAAGAUGUUCCGAUGCCCAUGGAAGUGAUCGACGAUGCUGCUCCGCUUAGCGAAAGCGGGGAGGAAGGUACGACCGACGCAUGCAGCAGCGAGGAUACAGACGUGGAGAAUAUCCAGGUCGAGGUGGAAAUGCCAGACCAUCCGUACGGAGAUCUUUCGUACGAAGAUGGCUUGAGGAUGUGGGCCCUGCAAACUGGACAAACUCAUCGCAGUUUGAACCUUUUGCUGGGCCAUUUGCGACAUCACUUCCCCCAGAACAAAUUGCUCCGAGAUGCACGGACGUUGAUGACCACGCCUGUGUCCGGAGCACCGGAGACAGCCCUUACACCAAUCGCAGGUGGGCAGCUGUGGUACCAGGGUGUGGAAAAAUGCCUGCUUUCAUAUUUUAGCCAACCCAGGGUUCGAGUUUAACAUUUUUGUGGAUUGCCUACCCCUGUACAAGAGCAGUCGGACCCAAUUUUGGCCGAUUCUCAUGCAGGCUCAUAACGUUCCACAUACUCCUGUAAUGACGGUUGCGAUAUUCUGUGGCGAAUCAAAACCGUUAUUCGUCAAGGAGUUUUUGCAGCCGUUUGUGGACGAAAUGAACAGACUGCAUGUGACAGGUCUGACAAUUAAAUCCCGCUCUUACUGGGUGGAAGCGCGUGCAAUAAUUGCAGAUGCUCCGGCACGAGCAUUUAUUAAAGGUGUUAAAUUGCAUAAUGCGUACAGCGCUUGCAUGAAAUGCACUAUCGUUGGUGAGUUGGAUGGACACCAGAUGUACUUCCGGUAUGGUGAACAAUACCCGCCUCGGAACUACAAGGAUUUUUGUGAUGACAAAUAUCCAACACAUGUCAACAACCCUACGCCCUUUACGAGUCUGUUAGGUUGCGAUAUCGUUGACGAUUUUGUGUCAGCCAAAGACAUGCACUUAAUAUACAAGGGCGUAGAGGCAAAGUUGCUACAUUUGUGGAUAAAUGGCUUCCCUGGCGUAACUUGUUACUUGCGACGUCGCCAGCAACGUGAAGUGUCGGCGCACUUGCGUCUGUUAAGGCUGCCUUCAGAUUACCAACGUAAACUGCGCGACCUGCGAUACAUCCAUCUCUGGAAAGCUUCGGAGUACAGGAUGUUUCUGCUGGUUGCCGGUUUCGUUGUUCUGAAGGAUAGACUUAGCGAUGCAGAGUACCAACACUUCAUGUUGUUGAUGAUGGCUGUGACGUUUAUAUCCACCACAUACCAUCGCGCUACAAGGGAACUGGCUGAUUCAUAUUUGCAUAGGUUUGUGGCAGCCUAUGGCGAUCUGUACAGCCCGGUUCUCAUGAAUAGCAACGUGCAUAACUUGCUGCACGUUUACAAUGACGUUUGCACGUUCGAUGGACUAAAAAACAUAUCAGCCUUCAUUUUUGAGGCAUUUUUGCAUGACCUCAAAAAGUUGGUGCAUUCCGGGAGGCACAGCCUGGUACAAGCGGUCCAUCGUUUGCUGAAACUGCAACAUGUCAUUGUUGCCCAGCUUCAGCAAAACAAACCGGUGGACGAACCAUCGGUGCGCACGGUUGGUGUCAACACCAUAACGACCGUGCGGCAGGGCUUCGCGCUGCGAAAAAACUUUCGCGAUCAAUGGUUCAUGACCAACUCGAGCGAGGUGGUCCGUUACGAAACGGCCACAAAAACAGGCAAGGACGUUACGGUGCAGGGGUACGCGUUUUUCAAACAGGUGCCUGCCUUUACGGAACCAUGCCUUUCAACGGAGGCGAAUAUUUACUCUGCCAACAUGGAAGAUUUGAAUAAGGGUGAACUGCAACACGACGCCAGCAGUACGCUGAUGUGCAAGGUAGCUGCAGUGGAAACGGGACAGGAAGGGGUGUUAAUGUUUGUGCCGUUGACACACACUUACAUUUGCUAAGAAAUAAAUUUAAA